rnacentral:rRNA from 1 species
CCUACGGGGUGCUGCAGUGGGGAAUAUUGGACAAUGGGGGGAACCCUGAUCCAGCCAUGCCGCGUGUGUGAAGAAGGCCCUCGGGUUGUAAAGCACUUUCAGUGAGGAAGAACGCCUGGUGGUUAAUACCCAUCAGGAAAGACAUCACUCACAGAAGAAGCACCGGCUAACUCCGUGCCAGCAGCCGCGGUAAUACGGAGGGUGCGAGCGUUAAUCGGAAUUACUGGGCGUAAAGCGCGCGUAGGUGGCUUGAUAAGCCGGUUGUGAAAGCCCCGGGCUCAACCUGGGAACGGCAUCCGGAACUGUCAAGCUAGAGUGCAGGAGAGGAAGGUAGAAUUCCCGGUGUAGCGGUGAAAUGCGUAGAGCUCGGGAGGAAUACCAGUGGCGAAGGCGGCCUUCUGGACUGACACUGACACUGAGGUGCGAAAGCGUGGGUAGCAAACAGGAUUAGAUACCCCUGUAGUC